rnacentral:misc_RNA from 1 species
GAUGAAGAACUUAGCGAAAUGCGAUAAGUAAUGUGAAUUGCAGAAUUCAGUGAAUCAUCGAAUCUUUGAACGCACAUUGCGCCCGCCAGUAUUCUGGCGGGCAUGCCUGUUCGAGCGUCAUUACAACCCUCAGGCCCCCGGGCCUGGCGUUGGGGAUCGGCGGAAGCCCCCUGUGGGCACACGCCGUCCCUCAAAUACAGUGGCGGUCCCGCCGCAGCUUCCAUUGCGUAGUAGCUAACACCUCGCAACUGGAGAGCGGCGCGGCCAUGCCGUAAAACACCCAACUUCUGAAUGUUGACCUCGAAUCAGGUAGGAAUACCCGCUGAACUUAAGCAUAUCAAUAAGCGGAGGA